rnacentral:rRNA from 1 species
CGUAGGGGGCUAGCGUUGUCCGGAAUCAUUGGGCGUAAAGAGCGUGUAGGCGGUCCGGUAAGUCCGCUGUGAAAGUCGGGGGCUCAACCCUCGAAUGCCGGUGGAUACUGUCGGGCUAGAGUGCGGAAGAGGCGAGUGGAAUUCCUGGUGUAGCGGUGAAAUGCGCAGAUAUCAGGAGGAACACCUAUUGCGAAGGCAGCUCGCUGGGACGUAACUGACGCUGAGACGCGAAAGCGUGGGGAGCAAACAGGAUUAGAUACCCUGGUAGUCCACGCUGUAAACGAUGGGCACUAGGUGUGGGGGGUGUCGACUCCCUCCGUGCCGAAGCUAACGCAUUAAGUGCCCCGCCUGGGGAGUACGGCCGCAAGGCUA